GGUCAAGUGAAGAAGCGCAUACGGUGGAUGCCUUGGCAGUCAGAGGCGAUGAAAGACGUGGUAGCCUGCGAAAAGCUUCGGGGAGUCGGCAAACAGACUUUGAUCCGGAGAUCUCUGAAUGGGGGAACCCACCUAGGAUAACCUAGGUAUCUUGUACUGAAUCCAUAGGUGCAAGAGGCGAACCAGGGGAACUGAAACAUCUAAGUACCCUGAGGAAAAGAAAUCAACCGAGAUUCCCUUAGUAGUGGCGAGCGAACGGGGAUUAGCCCUUAAGCUUCAUUGAUUUUAGCGGAACGCUCUGGAAAGUGCGGCCAUAGUGAGUGAUAGCCCCGUACGCGAAAGGAUCUUUGAAGUGAAAUCGAGUAGGACGGAGCACGAGAAACUUUGUCUGAACAUGGGGGGACCAUCCUCCAAGGCUAAAUACUACUGACUGACCGAUAGUGAACCAGUACCGUGAGGGAAAGGCGAAAAGAACCCCGGAGAGGGGAGUGAAAUAGAACCUGAAACCGUAUGCGUACAAGCAGUGGGAGCCUACUUGUUAGGUGACUGCGUACCUUUUGUAUAAUGGGUCAGCGACUUAUAUUCAGUGGCAAGCUUAACCGUAUAGGGUAGGCGUAGCGAAAGCGAGUCUUAAUAGGGCGUUUAGUCGCUGGGUAUAGACCCGAAACCGGGCGAUCUAUCCAUGAGCAGGUUGAAGGUUAGGUAACACUGACUGGAGGACCGAACCCACUCCCGUUGAAAAGGUAGGGGAUGACUUGUGGAUCGGAGUGAAAGGCUAAUCAAGCUCGGAGAUAGCUGGUUCUCCUCGAAAGCUAUUUAGGUAGCGCCUCAUGUAUCACUCUGGGGGGUAGAGCACUGUUUCGGCUAGGGGGUCAUCCCGACUUACCAAACCGAUGCAAACUCCGAAUACCCAGAAGUGCCGAGCAUGGGAGACACACGGCGGGUGCUAACGUCCGUCGUGAAAAGGGAAACAACCCAGACCGCCAGCUAAGGUCCCAAAGUUGUGGUUAAGUGGUAAACGAUGUGGGAAGGCUUAGACAGCUAGGAGGUUGGCUUAGAAGCAGCCACCCUUUAAAGAAAGCGUAAUAGCUCACUAGUCGAGUCGGCCUGCGCGGAAGAUGUAACGGGGCUCAAACCACACACCGAAGCUGCGGGUGUCACGUAAGUGACGCGGUAGAGGAGCGUUCUGUAAGCCUGUGAAGGUGAGUUGAGAAGCUUGCUGGAGGUAUCAGAAGUGCGAAUGCUGACAUGAGUAACGACAAUGGGUGUGAAAAACACCCACGCCGAAAGACCAAGGGUUCCUGCGCAACGUUAAUCGACGCAGGGUUAGUCGGUUCCUAAGGCGAGGCUGAAAAGCGUAGUCGAUGGGAAACAGGUUAAUAUUCCUGUACUUCUGGUUACUGCGAUGGAGGGACGGAGAAGGCUAGGCCAGCUUGGCGUUGGUUGUCCAAGUUUAAGGUGGUAGGCUGAAAUCUUAGGUAAAUCCGGGGUUUCAAGGCCGAGAGCUGAUGACGAGUCGUCUUUUAGAUGACGAAGUGGUUGAUGCCAUGCUUCCAAGAAAAGCUUCUAAGCUUCAGGUAACCAGGAACCGUACCCCAAACCGACACAGGUGGUCGGGUAGAGAAUACCAAGGCGCUUGAGAGAACUCGGGUGAAGGAACUAGGCAAAAUGGCACCGUAACUUCGGGAGAAGGUGCGCCGGCUAGGGUGAAGGAUUUACUCCGUAAGCUCUGGCUGGUCGAAGAUACCAGGCCGCUGCGACUGUUUAUUAAAAACACAGCACUCUGCAAACACGAAAGUGGACGUAUAGGGUGUGACGCCUGCCCGGUGCCGGAAGGUUAAUUGAUGGGGUUAGCGCAAGCGAAGCUCUUGAUCGAAGCCCCGGUAAACGGCGGCCGUAACUAUAACGGUCCUAAGGUAGCGAAAUUCCUUGUCGGGUAAGUUCCGACCUGCACGAAUGGCGUAACGAUGGCGGCGCUGUCUCCACCCGAGACUCAGUGAAAUUGAAAUCGCUGUGAAGAUGCAGUGUAUCCGCGGCUAGACGGAAAGACCCCGUGAACCUUUACUGUAGCUUUGCACUGGACUUUGAGCCUGCUUGUGUAGGAUAGGUGGGAGGCUUUGAAGCGUGGACGCCAGUUCGCGUGGAGCCAUCCUUGAAAUACCACCCUGGCAUGCUUGAGGUUCUAACUCUGGUCCGUAAUCCGGAUCGAGGACAGUGUAUGGUGGGCAGUUUGACUGGGGCGGUCUCCUCCUAAAGAGUAACGGAGGAGUACGAAGGUGCGCUCAGACCGGUCGGAAAUCGGUCGCAGAGUAUAAAGGCAAAAGCGCGCUUGACUGCGAGACAGACACGUCGAGCAGGUACGAAAGUAGGUCUUAGUGAUCCGGUGGUUCUGUAUGGAAGGGCCAUCGCUCAACGGAUAAAAGGUACUCCGGGGAUAACAGGCUGAUACCGCCCAAGAGUUCAUAUCGACGGCGGUGUUUGGCACCUCGAUGUCGGCUCAUCACAUCCUGGGGCUGAAGCCGGUCCCAAGGGUAUGGCUGUUCGCCAUUUAAAGUGGUACGCGAGCUGGGUUUAGAACGUCGUGAGACAGUUCGGUCCCUAUCUGCCGUGGACGUUUGAGAUUUGAGAGGGGCUGCUCCUAGUACGAGAGGACCGGAGUGGACGAACCUCUGGUGUUCCGGUUGUCACGCCAGUGGCAUUGCCGGGUAGCUAUGUUCGGAAAAGAUAACCGCUGAAAGCAUCUAAGCGGGAAACUUGCCUCAAGAUGAGAUCUCACUGGGAACUUGAUUCCCCUGAAGGGCCGUCGAAGACUACGACGUUGAUAGGCUGGGUGUGUAAGCGUUGUGAGGCGUUGAGCUAACCAGUACUAAUUGCCCGUGAGGCUUGACCAU
rnacentral:rRNA from 1 species